AAAGAAGUUUAUAUGUUAAUGGUGUAUUUCUCAAAAUUCUAUAAAAUAGAAGUCCACUCUAUACCAAGAACUUUAGCCAAAGCUUGCCAUAAAUUUAACAAAGUUCUACAUAAUACAACUCCUGCAAUUACUAUCCGAGCCUCCUUCGGGAUUAAAUAUUGGAAUCAUGUUGUAAAUUCCCAGAAAUUCCAAGAAUGUUCAAAAUUGGGCAAGUUGCUUAAUUGCCUAAGUACAACAAUUCAUUUUAUAUUUUUUCUAUUUUGGUUGAAGAAAAAUUGUUGCAUAUCCUGCAGAGUAGAAUCUUCCAAGGAAACUUUUAACAGAGAUGACAAUUGGGAAGAAUGA